rnacentral:rRNA from 1 species
CCAGCCACACUGGAACUGAGACACGGUCCAGACUCCUACGGGAGGCAGCAGUGGGGAAUAUUGCACAAUGGGCGCAAGCCUGAUGCAGCCAUGCCGCGUGUAUGAAGAAGGCCUUCGGGUUGUAAAGUACUUUCAGCGGGGAGGAAGGUGUUGUGGUUAAUAACCGCAGCAAUGAC